rnacentral:rRNA from 1 species
UACAGAGGUCUCAAGCGUUGUUCGGAUUCAUUGGGCGUAAAGGGCGCGUAGGCGGCGGGGUAAGUCGGGUGUGAAAUCUCAGGGCUCAACCCUGAAACUGCACUCGAUACUGCUCUGCUUGAGGACUGGAGAGGAGACUGGAAUUCACGGUGUAGCAGUGAAAUGCGUAGAUAUCGUGAGGAAGACCAGUGGCGAAGGCGGGUCUCUGGGCAGUUCCUGACGCUGAGGCGCGAAGGCCAGGGGAGCAAACGGG